rnacentral:rRNA from 1 species
CCUACGGGGGGCAGCAGUGAGGAAUAUUGGUCAAUGGCCGGAAGGCUGAACCAGCCAUGCCGCGUGAAGGUCAGUGCCCCAUGGGCGUUAAACUUCUUUUUUUCGGGAGAAAUAGUGGUCACGUGUGGCCAGACGAUAGUACCGUACGAAUAAGCAUCGGCUAACUCCGUGCCAGCGGCCGCGGUUAUACGGGGGAUGCAAGCGUUAUCCGGAUUUAUUGGGUUUAAAGGGUGCGUAGGCUGUGAGGUAAGUCAGGGGUGAAAUGCCCCCGCUCAACGGGGUGAAGUGCCAUUGAUACUGCCUUGCUGGAAUGCGGAUGCCGUGGGAGGAAUGUGUGGUGGAGCGGUGAAAUGCAUAGAUAUCACACAGAACACCGAUUGCGAAGGCAUCUCACGAAUCCGCGAUUGACGCUGAUGCACGAAAGCGUGGGUAUCAAACAGGAUUAGAUACCCCGGUAGUC